rnacentral:rRNA from 1 species
AAAGGAAUUGACGGGGGCCCGCACAAGCGGUGGAGCAUGUGGUUUAAUUCGAUGAUACGCGAGGAACCUUACCAGGGCUUAAAUGUAGUCUGACAGCCCCAGAGACGGGGUUUUCUUCGGACAGAUUACAAGGUGCUGCAUGGUUGUCGUCAGCUCGUGCCGUGAGGUGUCAGGUUAAGUCCUAUAACGAGCGCAACCCCUGCCGUUAGUUGCCAGCAUGUAAAGAUGGGGACUCUAACGGGACUGCCGGUGCAAACCGCGAGGAAGGUGGGGACGACGUCAAAUCAUCACGGCCCUUACGUCCUGGGCCACACACGUGCUACAAUGGCCGGUACAGAGAGCUGCCACGCCGCAAGGCGGAGCGAAUCUAUAAAACCGGUCACAGUUCGGAUCGGGGUCUGCAACCCGACCCCGUGAAGCUGGAAUCGCUAGUAAUCGGAUAUCAGCCAUGAUCCGGUGAAUACGUUCCCGGGCCUUGUACACACCGCCCGU